CAGUAGCCACGGGAACACGGAGGGAGCUAGCGUUGUUCGGAAUUACUGGGCGUAAAGCGCACGUAGGCGGUUAUUCAAGUCAGAGGUGAAAGCCCGGGGCUCAACCCCGGAACUGCCUUUGAAACUAGAUGACUAGAAUCUUGGAGAGGUCAGUGGAAUUUCGAGUGUAGAGGUGAAAUUCGUAGAUAUUCGGAAGAACACCAGUGGCGAAGGCGACUGACUGGACAAGUAUUGACGCUGAGGUGCGAAAGCGUGGGGAGCAAACAGGAUUAGAUACCCCCGUAGUCCCUGUCUCUUAUAC
rnacentral:rRNA from 1 species